UUCAAGCUGCCAUUUUCGGACCUUCCUGCAAUCCUGUGGACCGCAGUCUUCCAUCGCCAUAUUUCUUAAUUCUCAAUUAACGAUCUGAAAACCCCACUCAAACCUUAACUCUCCAGUCAAACACAUUAAACCCAUUCUAAUUAUCAUUAACAACUCCAUGACCAACACUAACCUACAAAAGCAUUGAAUUAACAGCUUAUGAAUUUCCAUGCAAUUACAAAAUAGCAAAUUCAGAAAAUUCAAAGUCAAUGUCUCUCUCCAGCUCAACUCUGUACAAAACCUCUCCCACUGCGUAGUCGCCUCUCAGAAUCCACAGCUUCUGAAAUGGUUCGAUUCGUAUUCUCCCCCUCUGUGCUGUGGCUUUUCCUUCUGCUUUUGCGAAUCGCUGUUGCUGAAGAUGAUGUCGGGUGCUUGAAAGGUGUGAGGAGCUCGUUGAAGGAUCCUGCAUCCAACUUGGGUCUCUGGAAUUUCGACAACACGACGGUCGGCUUCAUCUGCAGUUUUGCCGGCGUGACUUGCUGGAACGACCGCGAGAACCGCGUGUUCCGCUUGGAUCUCCGGGAGUUUAACCUCAGCGGUGAAUUCCCGGAGGCCUUGCAGUACUGCCGCAACUUGCAAACCCUCGAUCUCUCCGGUAAUGAACUCUCUGGUACAAUACCUACUCAAAUUUGCCGUUGGUUGCCUUAUUUAGUAACCCUAGACUUGUCCAACAAUCAUUUAACCGGGGAAAUUCCAACCGGUCUCGGUGAUUGCGUGUAUUUGAAUAACUUGAUGCUUAAUGAUAAUAAGUUUUCUGGAAAUAUUCCCUCCCAGCUUUCUAGUUUGAGUAGGCUCAAGAAGUUUUCGGUGGCCAAUAAUGAUCUUUCGGGCAGGCUUCCUUCCUUUUUCGGGGCUAUGGAUAACCCUGGAUUUGAUUUUGGUGGGAAUAAUCUUUGUGGUGGUCCGGCAGGGAAAUGUGGGGGAUUAAGUAAGAAAAAUUUGGCCAUUAUCAUAGCUGCUGGAGUGUUUGGUGCUGCUGCAUCGAUGUUGUUAGGAUUCGGGAUGUGGUAUUGGUAUUUUACAAAUUCUGGCAAGAGGAGAAAGGGAAGGUAUGGGGGAGGGAGGGAUGAUUCGGAUAGUUGGUCUGAGCGAUUGAGAGCUCACAAGCUUACUCAGGUUAUGUUGUUUCAGAAACCACUUAUCAAGGUUAAGUUGGCAGAUUUGUUGAUUGCCACCAACAAUUUCAGUGCAGAGAGUAUCAUAAACUCAACCAGGAUCGGAACGACUUACAAAGCCGUUCUUCGUGAUGGUUCUGCACUUGCGACCAAACGGCUUAAUACUUGCAAGUUGGGUGAGAAGCUGUUUCGGAUAGAGAUGUAUAGGUUAGGGGAGCUUAGGCAUCCGAAUUUGGUGCCUCUUUUGGGCUUUUGUGCCGUAGAAGAAGAAAAACUGUUGGUCUAUAAACACCUAUCCAGUGGAACUCUGUUUUCACUGUUGCAUGGGAAUCCGAGUAUAUUGGAUUGGCCAACUAGGUUGAGGAUCGGUUUAGGUGCUAGCAGAGGACUUGCUUGGCUUCAUCAUGGUUGCCACCCACCAAUCUUGCACCAGUAUUUCAGUUCCCAUGUUAUUAUGUUGGAUGAGGAUUUCGAUGCUAGGAUAAUGGAUUUCGGAUUGGCAAGGCUUAUGGAUCCUUCAGAUGGAGCCGAGACUAGUUAUGUGAAAGGUGAUCUAGGUGAAAUUGGAUAUGUAGCUCCGGAGUACUCAAGCACAAUGAUGGUUCCUUCAACAAAAGGAGAUACUUAUAGUUUUGGAGUAGUGCUUUUAGAGUUGGCUACAGGGCAAAAACCUCUGGCUGUUGGAGCUGCUGAAGAAGGAUUUAAAGGGACUCUGGUGGACUGGGUAAAUCAGGUCUCUGGAUCAGGUCACAUUAAAGAUGUCAUUGAUAAGAGCUUGUGUGGAAAGGGCCACGACGAAGAGAUUGUGCAAUUCCUAAAAAUUGCAUGCAAUUGUGUAGUUUCUGGUGCCAAGGAUAGGUGGUCAAUGUAUCAGGUUUAUGAAGCAUUGAAGACUAUGGCUGCACAACAAGGUUUCUCUGACGAGGGGGAUGAUGAAUUUCCGUUAAUUUUCAACAAACAAGAUAGCAGAAGUCCCAUGUAACGACCCCCUCACACAGCUUUACAUUUGGAAUAAGUUUUAAUACCGUGUUUUUUUUUGGUAAGGUGUAAGGUGUUGUGAUAUCCUUUUCUAGUGACUAUGGAUAUGCAUGCAUUAGUAAGGCUGUAUAAUAUAGUGUAGGUUAUAAAUGAAACCAAUAAUUUAUGUUUGUUUAGAAUGAUUAGUAAUAUGUAGAUAUAUUCAUGGUGUUAUGGGUACUUGUAAUUAGUCUUGUAUUAUAUAGCUUUUUGAAACACACAGUUGGACAUUGAA